CAGCCGCCCGGUAAAACGAAGGGUGCAAGCGUUACUCGGAAUUACUGGGCGUAAAGCGUGCGUAGGUGGUGGUUUAAGUCCGUUGUGAAAGCCCUGGGCUCAACCUGGGAAUUGCAGUGGAUACUGGGUCACUAGAGUGUGGUAGAGGAUAGUGGAAUUUCCGGUGUAGCAGUGAAAUGCGUAGAGAUCGGAAGGAACAUCUGUGGCGAAGGCGACUAUCUGGGCCAACACUGACACUGAGGCACGAAAGCGUGGGGAGCAAACAGGAUUAGAUACCCGUGUAGUCCCUGUCUCUUAUACA
rnacentral:rRNA from 1 species